rnacentral:sRNA from 1 species
UGUUCUCCACAAAAUGGGUCUGCUCCUUCCCCUGGCACUCUGCACCCUAGUCCUGUGCUGCGGAGCAAUGUCUCUGCCCCAGCUGGCCCUCAACCCCUCGGCUCUGCUCUCCCGGGGCUGCGAUGACUCAGAUGUGCUGGCAGUUGCAGGCUUUGCCCUGCGGGACAUUAACAAAGACAGAAAGGACGGCUAUGUGCUGAGACUCAACCGAGUGAACGAUGCCCAGGAAUACAGACAGUUUCAAAAAAAAAGAUUUACAUGACGUGCCCUGACUGCCCAAGCUCCAUACCCACUGACUCUUCCAGUCGCCAAGUGCUGGAGGCUGCCACCGACUCUCUUGCGAAAUACAACAAUGAGAACACGUUCAAGCAGUAUUCUCUCUUCAAAGUCACCAGGGCUU